AGUCUUUCCUCAUGGAGAACUGGGAAGAUGAGGGACUUGGUGGCUGUUUAAAAUUAAGCCGCCCCCUGAAAUAAAAGCCGGAGAGCUCUCCCCUGACAAGGAAGCCGACGGGAAGGAAGGUGCACGGAGCUACCAGGAUAAGUACCUGCACCAGCAAAAA